UUAAAAUGUAAAUUUAAAAACUUAGGUAGUAAUAGUUAUAUUCUUGAAACUUAAAAAAUUUGGCGGUAUUUUAGUCUAUUCAGAGGAACCUGUUUUAUAAUCGAUAAUCCACGAUGGACCUUACUUAAGCUUGUAAUCAGCUUAUAUACCGUCGUUAUUAGAAUAUUUUAUGAGAAAGUUAAUUUUCAAAAUUUUAUAUAAGAAAAUAUAUCAGAUCAAGGUGUAGCUUAUGUUUAAGUAAAAAUGGGUUACAAUAAAAUUAUUUAUAUGAAUAUAAAUUUGAAAUGUUUAUUGAAGGUGGAUUUGAUAGUAAAAUUAUAAAGAUAAAUAAUUUGAUUUUAGCUCUAAAAUAUGU
rnacentral:rRNA from 1 species